rnacentral:rRNA from 1 species
GAUGAACGCUGGCGGCGUGCCUAAUACAUGCAAGUCGAGCGAACAGACGAGGAGCUUGCUCCUCUGACGUUAGCGGCGGACGGGUGAUUAACACGUGGAUAACCUACCUAUAAGACUGGGAUAACUUCGGGAAACCGGAGCUAAUACCGGAUAAUAUAUUGAACCGCAUUGUUCAAUAGUGAAAGACGGUUUUGCUGUCACUUAUAGAUGGAUCCGCGCCGCAUUAGCUAGUUGGUAAGGUAACGGCUUACCAAGGCAACGAUGCGUAGCCGACCUGAGAGGGUGAUCGGCCACACUGGAACUGAGACACGGUCCAGACUACUACGGGAGGCAGCAGUAGGGAAUCUUCCGCAAUGGGCGAAAGCCUGACGGAGCAACGCCGCGUGAGUGAUGAAGGUCUUCGGAUCGUAAAACUCUGUUAUUAGGGAAGAACAAAUGUGUAAGUAACUAUGCACGUCUUGACGGUACCUAAUCAGAAAGCCACGGCUAACUACGUG